GAACGAACGCUGGCGGCCUGCCUACCCCAUGCAAGUCGAACGAGACCUUCGGGUCUAGUGGCGCACGGGUGCGUAACGCGUGGGAACCUGCCCUUAGGUUCGGAAUAACUCCCCGAAAGGGGUGCUAAUACCGGAUAAUGUCUUCGGACCAAAGAUUUAUCGCCUUUGGAUGGGCCCGCGUUGGAUUAGCUAGUUGGUAGGGUAAAAGCCUACCAAGGCGACGAUCCAUAGCUGGUCUGAGAGGAUGAUCAGCCACACUGGGACUGAGACACGGCCCAGACUCCUACGGGAGGCAGCAGUGGGGAAUAUUGGACAAUGGGCGAAAGCCUGAUCCAGCAAUGCCGCGUGAGUGAUGAAGGCCUUAGGGUUGUAAAGCUCUUUUACCCGGGAUGAUAAUGACAGUACCGGGAGAAUAAGCGCCGGCUAACUCCGUG
rnacentral:rRNA from 1 species